AUUGAACGCUGGCGGCAGGCCUAACACAUGCAAGUCGAACGGUAACAGGAAUCAGCUUGCUGAUUUGCUGACGAGUGGCGGACGGGUGAGUAAUGCCUGGGAAACUGCCUGAUGGAGGGGGAUAACUACUGGAAACGGUAGCUAAUACCGCAUAACGUCGCAAGACCAAAGAGGGGGACCUUCGGGCCUCUUGCCAUCGGAUGUGCCCAGAUGGGAUUAGCUAGUAGGUGGGGUAACGGCUCACCUAGGCGACGAUCCCUAGCUGGUCUGAGAGGAUGACCAGCCACACUGGAACUGAGACACGGUCCAGACUCCUACGGGAGGCAGCAGUGGGGAAUAUUGCACAAUGGGCGCAAGCCUGAUGCAGCCAUGCCGCGUGUAUGAAGAAGGCCUUCGGGUUGUAAAGUACUUUCAGCGGGGAGGAAGGGAGUAAAGUUAAUACCUUUGCUCAUUGACGUUACCCGCAGAAGAAGCACCGGCUAACUCCGUGCCAGCAGCCGCCGUAACAC
rnacentral:rRNA from 1 species